GUUCUCUUUUAAAGUAUGCAAAAAAUGCACACAAUUACUGAAAUAUGAACACUGUUCAUUUGAAAUACAAAGUAGACGUUCAUUCAAAUCCAUGUAAAAUUCCUACUUCUCCUUCAUUGAACGGGGGUUUCUCCUGCUGCAACUGAUGUCAUGAACACUCAGUGCUGGUACAGCAUGCCAUUCCCCUUAAAAAUCUUUCCUUCUCCACAGAACAUAAGUGCAACAUAAUCAGUUAUAUAAUAACCCACAGGCCAAUAAGACCUACACUCAGGUCUAUAAGCAAGUAGCAAAAUGCCUUUUUAAAUUACCUUAAAUAUGUUUAAAUAUAAGUCAAUCAUCUCAAGUAUGUUUAGUAAUUACUAAAAUGAGGAACAUGUAUGGAAAGACAUCUUUUAAUAAUUCAUUCUUAUUUCACAAAUAUUCAGCUGCCAAAAUUUCAUGAGUCUCACAUUUUUAAUAAAAAGACCCAAAGUUCCAUUAAAUAAUGGAGAAAAAAACUUCUCCACCAUCUUAAUACACUGACAUGAGAUUUUUCAAAUUUUCCACGAUUACCACCUAUGGUAUUUUAAAGAUCUUCAUUAAAAACAUAAAAAAUGAAAUGGCUAGGGAUUUCUAUUCACUAUAGUUUUUUCAAGGAAAUGUAAUUACUACGUAAGUAUUCCUUUAUUAAAUUUGAAGUUAUAUAACCAACAAGCCAAUAUGAAAGAUUUUUCUUUACGUCCUUUUCAAAUUCCCCCAAAAUAUCUUUAUGACAACUGCUAUCAGCCUAUGGCAGUGAGCCAUCCAUCAUUUCAACAGGAUGCCCGUGUCACCACUUUAUAACACAUGCACGCUAUCGAACAAUUCUUUUUAGGGAUCUUGGAUGUCCCAUUCACCUCUCAAUCUCCCACCAGCUCUAGAUGAGAGAAAUGAAUGAUUCAGAAAGUUUGUCCUUGUUCUGCAAGGACUUAAGACAAGCCUUAGAACUUGGGAUUGGUCCAAUUCCUACUGGGCAGGGGGCCACUGCUGAGGCCCUAGGUUGAUAGAUUACAGAGCCGGUAAACCCACCCCAUUCACUUGCUCGCUCACGUUACUCCUACUGCAGAGUGGGAUCCCUCAGGCUCACUCCUCAGGUGCCAGGGGCCAAUCUGCCUCAGGAUUCCUUCGUGGUUUUAAUUUUGGCCUGUUUUAUAGUCAUGCAGAAUCAACUGCAAGGACAUCCUUGCUCAUCUGGUCCCACCUCAAAUCAUCUUUUGCUUAGACAAAACGAAUUAUCCCAGGAGCUAGAAACUCAUCCUACACUAGGAGAAACAUCCCAACCCAGGGUGACAGGGUUCUUAAAGUGGAAAUCAGCUUCUCCAACUUCCGUCUUUUGAUCCUAGAUCUGCUUAUUCCAAUUAUACACAGAAUAAGGCUCCUUCUUCCUCUCAGUUCAGUAAAAAAUUAAGAUUUUCAAGGACUCCUAGAAUUUUAAAGCCAAAGGGGAAUGUAAGAGAUCAUCUCUUUCAAACCCCUACAUCCGUCCAGGAGUGAAGCAACCUGUCCAAGUCACACAGUAGUUAGAAUUGAGCUGGACUCCUCCACUGUCUCUUCUCUUACCUGCUGAACAACUCAAUGUGUCAAUUUCCUUUUACUUCAUGCAGUCAAAUCACGCCCCUACUUUUCCAAUCAUUCCACUGCCCUUCAGGAUUUUACUAGUCAAAUUGUUAACUUUACCUGGAAACAGUUGUGGAAAUGACUGCCAUUAUGUUAACAGGGUCAUAUGAAAAACACUUGUUUAUCAACAUUUAUAUGCUUUAUUGAAAGUUGACAAGUGCAAC
rnacentral:lncRNA from 1 species